rnacentral:rRNA from 1 species
GACGAACGCUGGCGGCGUGCUUAACACAUGCAAGUCGAACGGCAAGGCCCUGCUUUCGUGGGCUGCUCGCGUGGCGAACGGGUGCGUAACACGCGAGUAACCUGCCCUUGACUUUGGGAUAACCUCAGGAAACUGCGCCUACUCCCGGACCGCAGCCCCCGCUCCCUGGCGGGGGUUGGAACGUCUCGGCGGUCGGGGUUGGACGCGCGGCUUACCAGCUUGUUGGUGGGGUAGCGGCUUCCCAAGGCCUUGACGGGUAGCCGGCCUGAGAGGGUGCCCGGCCACGUUGGGACUGAGGGACGGCCCAGAGUCCUACGGGAGGCAGCAGGGGGGAGUAUGGCACAAUGGGCGGAAGCCUGAGGCAGCAGCGCCGCGUGCGGGAUGACGGCCUGCGGGGUGUAAACCGCUUUCGCCUGUGACGAAGCGGGAGUGACGGUAAUGGGUAAAGAAGCACCGGCUAACUACGUG